rnacentral:piRNA from 2 species
UCAGACAUUUGGUGUAUGUGCUUGGCUGAG